AUUGAACGCUGGCGGCAUGCCUUACACAUGCAAGUCGAACGGCAGCGCGUCCUUCGGGAUGGCGGCGAGUGGCGAACGGGUGAGUAAUACAUCGGAACGUGCCCGAGAGUGGGGGAUAACGCAGCGAAAGCUGUGCUAAUACCGCAUACGAUCUCAGGAUGAAAGCAGGGGACCGCAAGGCCUUGCGCUCACGGAGCGGCCGAUGGCAGAUUAGGUAGUUGGUGGGAUAAAAGCUUACCAAGCCGACGAUCUGUAGCUGGUCUGAGAGGACGACCAGCCACACUGGGACUGAGACACGGCCCAGACUCCUACGGGAGGCAGCAGUGGGGAAUUUUGGACAAUGGGGGAAACCCUGAUCCAGCCAUGCCGCGUGCAGGAUGAAGGCCUUCGGGUUGUAAACUGCUUUUGUACGGAACGAAAAGGUCUUUUCUAAUAAAGAAGGCUGAUGACGGUACCGUAAGAAUAAGCACCGGCUAACUACGUG
rnacentral:rRNA from 1 species